UAGGGGGCAAGCGUUAUCCGGAUUUACUGGGUGUAAAGGGAGCGCAGACGGCAGCGCAAGUCUGGAGUGAAAGCCCGGGGCCCAACCCCGGAACUGCUCUGGAAACUGUGCGGCUGGAGUACUGGAGGGGCAGGCGGAAUUCCUAGUGUAGCGGUGAAAUGCGUAGAUAUUAGGAGGAACACCAGUGGCGAAGGCGGCCUGCUGGACAGUAACUGACGUUGAGGCUCGAAAGCGUGGGUAGCAAA
rnacentral:rRNA from 1 species